GGGGUCUCAAUAUUUUUUGAGCGAAUUUCAAACUGUGAAAUGUUCUGGAAAUGGACAGUAUUUUGCACCAUUGGGAUGUAUCCCUGCAGCUGCUCUGAGUUCUCAAGGCUGUUAAGCUAUUGUAGUUAAAGAGAAUUUCACUUCAAGUUUUCAACAUUAAUUUCAUGUCUACAACAAAAAAACGAACUCCUUUUGAACAUUGUGUGACAGAAGCACUUCUGAUCACCUCCAACAGAGGUGUUUAACAUUAAAGAAAAAGGCUUAGAAACCAACAUAGUGAGACAGGUCACAGAUCGGGCGUAUUAACAAAUAAUCCGACAAUAUGCUGGCCAAGAACAUGUCCAAUCUGGAACUUCCUGCUACCGUCCUCUCCUCUCGCUCUUUGUAGGAUCUACCCUGCCAAUGUUGCCAACAAAUCGAACACUCCGCUGCAAGCCAAGGUCUUGGCCUCCCGCUUCGCAACAUCUCCCCCUCGCUCCUGUUGUUCCAUAAAAUCACAUCACGUCAAAUGUACAUUUAGGUCAACGGGAUAGCCGCAAAAUACGAACAUACAUCAACUUCCUGUCAAACGCUUCAAUUGUAAGUGAUACAUACAAUAUUAUUAUUGUAGAUCUCAUGAUAAUUUCACUCUCUAAAUAAAAUUCACGACUCCAUGAUCAAAUCAGAAAUGCAGAUUGGUGCUCCGCUCCUUUCCACGCAUGCAACAUCCAUGAACUCGCAAACACUGCAAAAUCACUCUUAGAGGAUGCUAGCAGGCCAUAGUAAAUAAACACCAACACCGGUUCAGUCCUCACCUGAAUGAAGCUCAACAUUAAUCGCCAUGCCACAGCUAACUACUGCUCCUAUAACUAAUAUACAAUAGAAUAGAGUAAAUUACAUUUUCUUCGAAGUGAACAACACACACCAUGAAGUUGUUUCCCUUGGAAAUUCAUUUCAUCGUACAUGCGUCCCAAUGAUCAAGAUGAAUGGAGAGAAAAGCGUACUUCACCCCACCAUUACAGCUGCAUGGAGACAGACGAAGAACUGUAUAAAUUAUAGUGAAAACAAACACAUAAACAAAGUAGGUAGAUCAAAAACACAAUCUUAUCGGAAGACUAAUUCUAAUACUCGAUUGACAAAACCUUGAAUCAAGAGAGAUUUGAGUGAGUCAACAGAAAAAUCAAAUUCUACCUGGUCACAUGUAAUGAAGAGAGCUGCGAGUUGCUCCUCUGUUACCUGUGGCACAUAUUGAAUCGAAAGCCAAAAAUUUCCAAUAACAUAUUAACAACCAAUACUUAUAAAAAAAUUAAAAUUUUUGGCAGAAAGGGAGAUUGGCAAAAAGAUAGAAAGGAAGUUUGUGCCACUAAUUGCACUCACUCAAUUUUAAUAAAAUUCAAGAGAAUUCACUCAUUCAAGUAGACUGUCUCUAGCAUGAACAGAGGAGUUUGCACAAUCAGCCACAACUUUAAUAAAAAUUACGGUCUUGUUUCCUUGUUUGAGUUACAUUUUCACCAUUAAGCAUCGAAGAAGGUGCAGAACAAAGAAAAUGAUCCAUUUAAAACGUCCAUGUGAAAGCCACUAAACCCUAACCUCUGAUCACAAAAACUCAGAUUUAUCAAAACUUAGUAUUCACCUCCCCAACACCAUCUCUAAAUCACACAUAUCAGGUGCAAAAUGUUAAUAAAAAUCCCAACAAAGUAAAAACAAAGAAAAUACUAAAAAAACGGAAAAAAAACAAACAGGAACCAAAAUUUACCUUUGUUUUCCACGCACAACUUUCAACCUCUCACAACGCCUGCGUGAACUAUGACUCCUUGCAUUCAAAAGAAUCCACAAGAAGAUUUCAAGUGAAAAAAGCUGAAACUUUUUCUCAUGUGAUGCAAAUGUAGAAAAAGAUAGGUCAUGUUUUUUCUCAUGUAAUAAAGAGUAAACAUUCAUGACAACGCUU
rnacentral:lncRNA from 1 species